rnacentral:rRNA from 1 species
AUUGAACGCUGGCGGCAGGCCUAACACAUGCAAGUCGAGCGAGUGGCGGACGGGUGAGUAAUGUCUGGGGAACUGCCCGAUGGAGGGGGAUAACUACUGGAAACGGUGGCUAAUACCGCAUACUAUCGGAUGAACCCAGAUGGGAUUAGCUAGUAGGUGGGGUAAAGGCUCACCUAGGCGACGAUCCCUAGCUGGUCUGAGAGGAUGAUCAGCCACACUGGGACUGAGACACGGCCCAGACUCCUACGGGAGGCAGCAGUGGGGAAUAUGGCACAAUGGACGAAAGUCUGACCGAGCAACGCCGCGUGUGUGAAGAAGGUUUUCGGAUCGUAAAGCUCUGUCAUCAGAGAAGCGUUAUCCAACCAGAAAGCCACGGCUAACUACGUGCCAGCAGCCGCGGUAAUUC